rnacentral:ncRNA from 1 species
ACCAAGGAGUCUAACAUGUGCGCGAGCCGCGGGGCAGUACGAAACCCGUAAGGCGAAAUGAAGGUGAACGCCGGCGCGGUCCGGCGGAGGUUGGAUCCCGUCCCGUCGGGGCGGGCGCACUACCGGCCGAUCUUCUCCGCCCUGUCGGCGAGGUCGAGCGAGAGCGUGCAAGUCGGGACCCGAAAGAUGGUGAACUAUGCCUGAGGAGGUUGAAGCCAGAGGAAACUCUGGUGGAGGACCGUAGCGAUUCUGACGUGCAAAUCGAUCGUCAAAUUUGGGUAUAGGGGCGAAAGACUAAUCGAACCGUCUAGUAGCUGGUUCCCUUCGAAGUUUCCCUCAGGAUAGCUGGCGCUCUGUCGCCGUUUUAUCUGGUAAAGCCAAUGAUUAGAGGUCUUGGGGGGCGAAACGCCCCUCCACCUAUUCUCAAACCUUUAAAUU